GUUUCAAAUGCGUCGUUCCUUCUUAGCAAAAGGUGGUUGUUUGUCUAAUAUUGCAAAAAAAAAAGUGAUGUUCGGGGGUUUGUGUGUAUUUGUUUGGAAAACAAAUGAUGUUACCAAAAUUAGGGCUGGAACCAUUGCAGCGGUGGUUACCAGAUCCGAUGUGUGAGUUAAGAUCCAGAUGUUAAAUAGAUCUGGCAGCUUGAAGAAAAUCGCACAUGAAUAUGAAUAUGAAUAUGAAGAUGAUGAUGAUGAAUAAGAUACGAAGAUGACGAUGAAUCAGAUAUGAAUCUUGUUACUUUUUUUAAAUUCUCUUUAUUUUUUUUUAUCUAAAAUUAAACAUUUUUU